UGUCUCCUCUAUCUUCCUCCAAGAAAAUAGAUUCAAGCCCGCCAAACAGCGGGCUUUUUUUU
rnacentral:ncRNA from 1 species